AUUGAACGCUGGCGGCAGGCCUAACACAUGCAAGUCGUGCGGUAACACAGGGAGCUUGCUUCCGGGUGACGAGCGGCGGACGGGUGAGUAAUGUCUGGGAAACUGCCUGAUGGAGGGGGAUAACUACUGGAAACGGUAGCUAAUACCGCAUAAUGUCGCAAGACCAAAGAGGGGGACCUUAGGGCCUCUUGCCAUCAUAUGUGCCCAGAUGGGAUUAG
rnacentral:rRNA from 1 species